CUGUCACUGGUCAAGGUGAUCAGUAUCGUGCUGUUUGUGGCGGCAGGCGGCCUGUAUGUCGCGCAUCUGUUCGGCCCCGGCGUGCCGGUC
rnacentral:tRNA from 1 species